GUACGGGAGGCAGCAGUGGGGAAUAUUGCACAAUGGGCGCAAGCCUGAUGCAGCCAUGCCGCGUGUAUGAAAAAGGCCUUCGGGUUGUAAAGUACUUUCAGUCGUGAGGAAGGUGUUAAGGUUAAUAACCUUAGCAAUUGACGUUAGCGACAGAAGAAGCACCGGCUAACUCCGUGCCAGCAGCCGCGGUAAUACGGAGGGUGCGAGCGUUAAUCGGAAUUACUGGGCGUAAAGGGCACGCAGGCGGUUAAUUAAGUUGGAUGUGAAUCCCCGGGCUUAACCUGGGAAUGGCAUUCAAGACUGGUUAGCUAGAGUCUUGUAGAGGGGGUAGAAUUCCAUGUGUAGCGGUGAAAUGCGUAGAGAUGUGGAGGAAUACCGGUGGCGAAGGCGGCCCCUGGACAAAGACUGACGCUCAUGUGCGAAAGCGUGGGGAGCGAAACAGGGAUUAGAUACC
rnacentral:rRNA from 1 species